rnacentral:rRNA from 1 species
UCCUACGGGAGGCAGCAGGGGGGAAUCUUAGACAAUGGGCGCAAGCCUGAUCUAGCCAUGCCGCGUGAGUGAUGAAGGCCCUAGGGUCGUAAAGCUCUUUCAACUGUGAAGAUAAUGACGGUAGCAGUAGAAGAAACCCCGGCUAACUCCGUGCCAGCAGCCGCGGUAAU